GAAAUACCUAAAGCUUCGUUUCGUGCGGAGUUAGGGUAGUGUCGGUGACAUGGAAGAAGUCGUAACAAGGCACGCGUAGCGGAAGCUGUGCGUGGAUCAUUUUAUUU
rnacentral:rRNA from 2 species